AUCUGCAUACAAAAGGUCCCGGAAUGCUCCGGGCACGUCAUCCCCACCAACCCAAAGGGUGCCUCCUGAGUGGCUCGCAACAUACGCCGCCACCCAGUCUGCCGCCCCAUUCGCCUCACGAUAUACAUGCAUAACCUGAAGGGAAAACCCCUCACUCACCAUCAACCAUAUAUCACGGAGUAAAGGGUGAACUCCUCCAUCACUAUGAGGGCCCUCCCGGAUCCAACUAAUCACGGUGGCUGAGUCACCCUCCAGGAGGAUAGAGCUCGCCUGAAGUACC
rnacentral:lncRNA from 1 species